UACGGAGGGUGCGAGCGUUAUCCGGAAUUACUGGGUUUAAAGGUUGCGUAGGCGGCCAUGUAAGUCAGGAGUGAAAGUUUGCGGCUCAACCGUAAAAUUGCUUUUGAUACUGCAUGGCUGGAAUCAGGAUGAGGUCAGCGGAAUGUGGCAUGUAGCGGUGAAAUGCAUAGAUAUUACAUGGAAUACCAAUUGCGAAGGCAGGUUACUACUAGUGGAUUGACGCUGAUGGACGAAAGCGUGGGGAGCGAACAGG
rnacentral:rRNA from 1 species